rnacentral:tRNA from 2 species
GGAUGUAGCUCAGUGGUAGAGUGUCUGCCUGGCAUGCAUGAAGCCCUGGGUUCAAUCCCAACAACAACA